rnacentral:antisense_RNA from 1 species
GGGACCUCGCGCUGACAUCUGGGAAAUGCCAUUCAUACUGGAACCUCCGACACACUGCCAUGAAUGUGAGGGUUUCGUGACUGAUGGGGAGACUGCAGUCAAAUAAAACAGAUACUACACGCACUCGUCGGGGCAGCCGUACUGCAGAAGCACGUUGAUGCACUCCUGGCUGGAGGCCUGCCGGGCGUAGGUCAGCGCUGUGUUCCCGUGGGCAUCUCGGGCCAUGACGUCCACC